rnacentral:rRNA from 1 species
GGAAUCUUGGACAAUGGGCGAAAGCCUGAUCCAGCCAUGCCGCGUGGAUGAUGAAGGCCUUAGGGUUGUAAAAUCCUUUCAGCGGGGACGAUAAUGACGGUACCCGCAGAAGCAGCUCCGGCUCACUUCGUCCCAGCAGCCGCGGUAAUACGAAGGGGGCUAGUGUUGUUCGGAUUUACUGGGCGUAAAGCGCGUGUAGGCGGGUCGGUAAGUUGGGGGUGAAAUCCCGAGGCUCAACCUCGGAACUGCCUUCAAAACUGGCGACCUGGACUCAAGUAGAGGCAAGUGGAAUUGCGAGUGUAGAGGUGAAAUUCGUAGAUAUUCGCAGGAACACCAGUGGCGAAGGCGACUUGCUGGACUUGUAGUGACGCUGAGACGCGAAAGCGUGGGGAGCAAA